rnacentral:rRNA from 1 species
AUGGCGACCGGCGUACGGGUGAGUAACGCGUAUCCAACCUGCCCUUUACUAUGGGACAGCCCGUCGAAAGGCGGAUUAAUACCGUAUGUUGUCAUGUUGAUGCAUAUUUUCAUGACCAAAGGCUUCGGCCGGUAAAGGAUGGGGAUGCGUCUGAUUAGCUUGCCGGCGGGUAACGGCCCACCGGGGCGACGAUCAGUAGGGGUUCUGAGAGGAAGGUCCCCCACAUUGGAACUGAGACACGGUCCAAACUCCUACGGAAGGCAGCAG